rnacentral:rRNA from 1 species
ACUCCUACGGGAGGCAGCAGUGGGGAAUAUUGCACAAUGGGCGCAAGCCUGAUGCAGCCAUGCCGCGUGUGUGAAGAAGGCCUUCGGGUUGUAAAGCACUUUCAGCAGUGAGGAAGGCGGAGUCGUUAAUAGCGGCCUCGUUUGACGUUAGCUGCAGAAGAAGCACCGGCUAACUCCGUGCCAGCAGCCGCGGUAAUACGGAGGGUGCGAGCGUUAAUCGGAAUUACUGGGCGUAAAGCGCAUGCAGGUGGUUUGUUAAGUCAGAUGUGAAAGCCCGGGGCUCAACCUCGGAAUAGCAUUUGAAACUGGCAGACUAGAGUACUGUAGAGGGGGGUAGAAUUUCAGGUGUAGCGGUGAAAUGCGUAGAGAUCUGAAGGAAUACCGGUGGCGAAGGCGGCCCCCUGGACAGAUACUGACACUCAGAUGCGAAAGCU